rnacentral:misc_RNA from 1 species
AAAGUCGUAACAAGGUCUCCGUUGGUGAACCAGCGGAGGGAUCAUUAUAGAGUUAUAAAACUCCAAAACCCAUGUGAACAUACCUGUUGCCUCGGUGGCCUACCCGGUAGUUACCCUGUAGUUACCCUGUAGUCCGCCGAAGGACCAUUAAACUCUUUUAUCUCUGUAUCUCUGAGUAAAAAACAAAUAAGUUAAAACUUUCAACAACGGAUCUCUUGGUUCUG